rnacentral:rRNA from 2 species
UGCCUGGCGGCACUAGCGCGGUGGUCCCACCUGACCCCAUGCCGAACUCAGAAGUGAAACGCCGUAGCGCCGAUGGUAGUGUGGGGUCUCCCCAUGCGAGAGUAGGGAACUGCCAGGCUC